GCCGGCAGCUAGCUCUCUGCAACUCUUACAGUCACCCACUGAAGCUAAGCAGGGCUGAGCCUGGUAAGUACCUGGAUGGGAGACCACAUGGGAAAGCUAGGUUGCUGCUGGAA
rnacentral:rRNA from 1 species